rnacentral:rRNA from 1 species
AUUUAGUGGGGAAUAACUGUUGGAAACGACAGCUAAUACCGCAUAAUAUUGCUGGAUAAUUUCCAGUAAUGAAAGGAGCUUUCAAGCUCCGCUGAUUGAUGAGGAUGCGGCGCAUUAGCUAGUUGGUAGGGUAAUGGCCUACCAAGGCAAUGAUGCGUAGCCGAUCUGAGAGGAUGAACGGCCACAUUGGGACUGAGACACGGCCCAAACUUCUACGGAAGGCAGCAGUAGGGAAUUUUUCACAAUGGGCGAAAGCCUGAUGGAGCAAUGCCGCGUGACUGAUGAAGGUCUUCGGAUUGUAAAGGUCUGUUGUAAGGGAAGAAAUGGUAAAACAGGAAAUGGUUUUAUCUAUGACGGUACCUUACCAGAAAGCCACGGCUAACUAUGUGCCAGCAGCCGCGGUAAUACAUAGGUGGCAAGCGUUAUCCGGAUUUAUUGGGCGUAAAGGGUGCGUAGACGGUUUUGCAAGUCUGAGGUUAAAUUUAGGAGCUCAACUCCUAAUCGCCUUGGAAACUACAAGACUAGAGUAUAGGAGAGGUUAGUGNAAUUCCAUGUGUAGCGGUGGAAUGUGUAGAUAUAUGGAGGAACACCAGUGGC